AGGGCGGGGCGGAGCGGGGGCGCUGGGGGCGGGGCGAAGCCGUCGGCGGAUCGGCUCGUGGAGCGCUGGACUGACCUCCCUAGGCUUCCGGGGCGCCCCAGCGUGGACCAUGCUGCAAGCUUCCGGCCGGCGGGGGGACGUUUUACUGCGGAACACCCCUCAUCUAGACGGGGCGAUCUAAAUUGGGUGCCCACCAUCACACCGUCCGCGCAUACAGAGACAACCCAACCGACAACGUGGCAAGGCCUCAUAUCAGCCAACCUUGAAGCCAGUUGGCAGAGAGCCUGGGAAAUGUUUCCAGGGAUCAGUCCUGGAAGACAGAGCAGAGCAGGGGAAGGGAAGAGAAAGGACCUCCAAGCAAGCGGGGAAAUAACCAGAUAACCAGUACAGUGAAUUUCACCAAGGAAUCAUGUUGUUCAACUUCUUGCAAAUUGAAUCUUGAUAAAUAGAAGUCAAUCCACGUUGUCAUGGAGGAGGAGCAUGUGAUCUGGAGCUGAGGACCAGGAGCCUGGGAGUGUUGUCACUCACUUUCUUGGGAUCUCAGAUGAUACCAUUGCUGUCUCAUUUAUAUAUCCUGUUACAUCUGUUCCUUCCACUGGACCUUAUGCAGAUGAAUGAAUGAGUGAAUGAGCUGCCCUAAAGCUGAGUCCUGAGGGAUGAGUUAGCUAGAAGAAGAAUGGGAGUGUUCUGGGUAAAGGGAUGGCAUGACAGAAGUCACAGAGGUAAUAUUUGGUUUGAGGCACAUUCGAGCAGUUGGAAGAGAUCAUCUCCAAAUGCUGAAAGAGCAUGAAAUGCUCUUAAUCCACCAGACGCCAUAGGUCAGAGUGAAUGGUAUUUGUCUUGGCUACCCUCCAACCAACAACCACUUUCCUGGAGAAGGCCCAUGCUGUCGUUCCAAACAGACAAGUGUCACCCUUCAGCCCAUCCUUUCGAGCCCCUUCUUUCCCUGACUUUCUCUUCUCCAAAGGCAGAACUUUCUGGGCCACAGCAAACGGAUUACCUAAGAUCAUUCUACUCAUAGUAAAUAUCAGUGCUAAAACAAACAAACAAAAAACAACUCACUGUUGAGCAGUUUCCGAUUUAUAAAUAAGAGAUGUUCCGAAAAUUUUCAGGGGAUACUUUGCAAGCCUACCUCGUUGCACACAUGAACCUAAAGUUCCUCAGGUGACUCACAAAACACUCUUCUGGCAAUAAUAUCUCAAAAUACUGAUUAGUUGCCAUGAAAAAAAUGAUACAAUGCUAGUAAAUAAACAGAACUGAAAAAAAAAAGUGGGCAUAGUUUUUGAAACAACUCCAGCAGGCUGAUGUUUGAGGGAAAAGCUCAUUUAAGGAAAGAAAAAAUGAGAAUGUGGUUGCAGAAUUUGGGGACACAUACACUAAAGACUUUUUGACCCUCUGCAGGAAUUUGAAGAUUGACUUACCUGGUUCAUUUUUAUAUCUAACUCUGAUUCCCAACGCAUGCUUUUUUUUCCCCGAGGUAUAACCCCAAAGUGCCAGCCCUCCCAAGCUUAUGAGUAGAAAAGGAAGUCACAUUUCCUUUCUGUACUCAAACGGUGAUCGCAUAGGUGCCGACUAGCUGUGUUGCUGGAAACGUAUCUCCU
rnacentral:lncRNA from 1 species